rnacentral:rRNA from 1 species
GACGAACGCUGGCGGCGUGCCUAAUACAUGCAAGUUGAGCGAUGAAGCUUGGUGCUUGCACCAAUUUGAAGAGCAGCGAACGGGUGAGUAACGCGUGGGGAAUCUGCCUUUGAGCGGGGGACAACAUUUGGAAACGAAUGCUAAUACCGCAUAACAACUUUAAACAUAAGUUUUAAGUUUGAAAGAUGCAAUUGCAUCACUCAAAGAUGAUCCCGCGUUGUAUUAGCUAGUUGGUGAGGUAAAGGCUCACCAAGGCGAUGAUACAUAGCCGACCUGAGAGGGUGAUCGGCCACAUUGGGACUGAGACACGGCCCAAACUCCUACGGGAGGCAGCAGUAGGGAAUCUUCGGCAAUGGACGAAAGUCUGACCGAGCAACGCCGCGUGAGGGAAGAAGGUUUUCGGAUCGUAAAACUCUGUUGGUAGAGAAGAACGUUGGUGAGAGUGGAAAGCUCAUCAAGUGACGGUAACUACCCAGAAAGGGACGGCUAACUACGUG